AAGGUGUUAGUAAAAUUUUAUAUAACUUUGUCAAAGUUAAGUUAUAGGUUAAACCCCUAUACAUCUUA
rnacentral:tRNA from 1 species